CUGACGAGUUUGAUCCUGGCUCAGAUUGAACGCUGGCGGCAUGCUUUACACAUGCAAGUCGAACGGUAACGGGACUUCGGUCUGCCGACGAGUGGCGAACGGUGAGUAAUAUAUCGGAACGUGCCCACGUAAUGGGGGAUAGCCCGGCGAAAGCCGGAUUAAUACCGCAUACGACCUGAGGGUGAAAGCGGGGGAUCGCAAGACCUCGCGCUAUUGGAGCGGCCGAUAUCAGAUUAGCUAGUUGGUGGGGUAAAGGCCUACCAAGGCUACGAUCUGUAGCUGGUCUGAGAGGAUGGCCAGCCACACUGGAACUGAGACACGGUCCAGACUCCUACGGGAGGCAGCAGUGGGGAAUAUUGGACAAUGGGGGCAACCCUGAUCCAGCCAUGCCGCGUGUGUGAAGAAGGCCUUCGGGUUGUAAAGCACUUUAAGCGAGGAGGAAGGUUUUUAGUUUAAUACACUAAAGAAUUGACGUUACUCGCAGAAUAAGCACCGGCUAACUCUGUG
rnacentral:rRNA from 1 species